CUCCACGGUGGUCCGGUUCUCAGGAGCUCCUGGCUGAAUCAUUUGGAUGGGGUGUUCCACAUUGUGGAGUAGGGGCAGAAGCAGUAACCACAGAAUUCAAGAUGCACUGAAAAUGAGAAGCAGCCAUAAAGCUGCUUUUAACAUCUGCUUUAUAUGAAGUGAAGCCCUGAUGUCAUGCUGUAUAAUCUGAGCAGAGACUCUUGGAAGGUGCGUGGAGGAGUUUUCAUCAGACAAGGACUGCAGAGCAAGUGUCGGAUCCAGAUGCCGGUUCAUCAGAGUAGUGCUAUGUAGAUGUGAAGGUAGAACUCCAGGGAGCCACUCCCAUUGCUAUGAGGAUAACAUUACAAAACAGUGUCACUGAUGCUGCUUAGGCUCAGUAGUGUGCAGGUCCCCAAGAGCCUUAGGCUGAAACCAGGCUGACCCUAUGACAUGUCUCAGUGCAAGGUGAUCUACUGGAGAGAUGUUACAUGGAAAUGGCAUUCCUUUUGCUCUGAUCCUCAAAGACUACAAAAUACCUUAGCCUUAUCCAUUUAAAAACUCAAAGCUCUUCUGAUGCUUAGGGCAUGGACUCUAGUUUCCUUUGGAUUAGGAUGAGGUUUCAGAAAGAACACCCGGAAAUUAAUGCUUGGGAACUCAGAAACCACUGAUGAUACAAAUCUGGGAUAAGGAAGUAGGACAGGCUUUACCCCUGUGGAGUACAUCAAAAGGAGGAUCAGUCAUUAAAGCUGCCGUCUUCUCAUCAAUACCACGGCGAUUCAAAAUGCUGACCAAGAGUUUCAAAAGUGGAAGCCUGAAGUUAAGUUCCUAUGUCCCUGUUUAGCCAACUAAAUAAGUGACUUGAUUUUUCAAAAGCAUUGAGCAGCCAGUAGCUUUCAGGGAAGCUGGAGUUCCAUGUUAGGUGCUCGCAGCUUUAGAGAUCCUUUUAAUGCUAUGUCUUUCAUACGCAAGAUAUAUAUACCAGAGGUGGCCACAUAUAAAGAAUACGUCUCAUGGUAUUAUACAAAUCCUUUUUCAUUCAACAUUUGGGCUACCCAGGACAGGUCUAAUGUCUCAUCAGCUUUCUCCAUAGGCUUUCACCAAUAGCUCUAUGAGGGACAUUUUAAGUGCCAUCACAACAGUAUCUGGGCACUCUUGCAUAUAUGUGCCCUCUAAUACAAGCUUAGCCAUCCAUUCACCCUCUUCCAUAGAUUCUUAUCCUAAAGGUCAUACUCCAAGUGCAGUGGGGUGGCCAAGCCUACUCAGUAAGGAAAUGCAUGUAUGAAGACGUGGGUCUUGCAGAAUAUUUUAGAGAUGGUCAAAUUCAGGUUCCACCUAAUCUCAGCAGAAGCUUGAUCCAGUUGGAGUCUUCCCUUCAGUGCAGCUACACUGAUUGACAGCAGCUGAAGAUCUGGUUCAUGGAUUAAAAGGCUAGAAGGGACUGCUGUAAACAACUAAUCUGACCUCCUGCAUAACACAAGCCAUAGGAUUCCAGCCAGUGAUUCCAGAAGAGGAAGGAAUUAUUCUCCCCCGCUCCAUGAGUGCACACUGCUAGCUCCAAUCGUCUGGGGUGGAACUAGAACUGGGAAAGCUGACAGAACUUCAGCGGGAGAGAGGAACCACCACUGUAACAUAAUGCAAAUUUGAUCUUUAUUCUUUCUUCUCGCAUCUCGGCCAAGU